GGCGGUAUUCGAGUGAAGCACCCCGGAAUUGGGCUCCCUCCUCUCUGGUACCGGGGUGUGUCACCCGAGAGUCGCA
rfam:Myotis lucifugus cont2.518, whole genome shotgun sequence.